UUGAACAGCAGUUGGAUGGUGGUGCCAGCAAAGCCAGCCUCAGCCCCUCCUCUGUUAACCAGAAAUUCCCCAACAACACUGACCCUGGAAACAAGCAGCUGCUCUUCCAAGAUUCAGUUGCCUCCCCUCCAGUUCGGGAUGUGGGCAUGAAUUCUCCAGUUCUGGUCCUCCCCAGCUCCUCUUCUGCUGCUUCUGGCUCAGAGACCACAACCUUCAACAGGAAAAAUGAGCUGGGUUUGGAUGCUUCUCCAGUAAUGAAGAACCCUCCCAAGCUGGAGGGUGAUGCUACUGAUGGCUCCUUUGCCAAUAAGCAUGGCCGCCAUGUCAUUGGCCACGUUGAUGACUAUAGUGCCCUAAGACAGCAGAUUGAAGAGGGCAGACUGCUGGUCAAGAAGGUAGCAUCCCUCGUGAGAUCAACCUGCAACUUCCUUGGCCUUGAAGCUCUAGGCACAGA